rnacentral:sRNA from 1 species
GAGAUGGGAAAUCGCCGGGUUUGCUCUAAUUAAAAACAAGACUUUCAGGAAAC